rnacentral:rRNA from 1 species
AUUGAACGCUAGCGGCAUGCCUUACACAUGCAAGUCGAACGGUAACGCGGGGCAACCUGGCGACGAGUGGCGAACGGGUGAGUAAUGUAUCGGAACGUGCCCAGUUGUGGGGAUGAACUGCUCGAAAGAGCAGCUAAUACCGCAUACGACCUGAGGGUGAAAGCGGGGGAUCGCAAGACCUCGCGCAAUUGGAGCGGCCGAUAUCAGAUUAGGUAGUUGGUGGGGUAAAGGCCCACCAAGCCAACGAUCUGUAGCUGGUCUGAGAGGACGACCAGCCACACUGGGACUGAGACACGGCCCAGACUCCUACGGGAGGCAGCAGUGGGGAAUUUUGGACAAUGGACGCAAGUCUGAUCCAGCCAUGCCGCGUGCGGGAAGAAGGCCUCGGGUUGUAAACCGCUUUUGUCAGGGAAGAAACGCUCUGGGUUAAUACCUCGGGGUAAUGACGGUACCUGAAGAAUAAGCACCGGCUAACUACGUGCCAGCAGCCGCGGUAAUACGUAGGGUGCAAGCGUUAAUCGGAAUUACUGGGCGUAAAGCGUGCGCAGGCGGUUAUGCAAGACAGAGGUGAAAUCCCGGGCGUCAACCUGGGAACUGCCUUUGUGACUGCAUAGCUAGAGUACGGCAGAGGGGGAAUGGAAUUCCGCGUGUAGCAGUGAAAUGCGUAGAUAUGCGGAGGAACACCGAUGGCGAAGGCAAU